GGUCUUUUUUGCACUUGCACUUGAGGCAAAAAAAAAAAAAAAAAAAAAACAACCAUAACAGAAGAUAUGGAGUAAAUUCUGUGCAACUCUAAUGGACAGCUUAAAACAGACAGACAGACAGACAGCCCAGAACCUGAAUGUUAUUAAUACUCUUAAACUCUUAGAAUUUAAGACCCACAUUUAGCAAAAAUCUCACCUUUUUCCUUCUUUCCUUUUUUCUAAUUUUGGUACUUUUCCUCUGUUUGAAUUUUCAGAAACUGUUCACUGAUAAUUUUUAGAUCUAAGUUAUUUUAUUUUAUAGGCUCAUCUUUUAAAGAACAGGACUGUACCAUAAAGUGAUGUGAGCAUGUGUAUCUCUUGAGACUACCAUGGUUUUCCUCACUGUUUUAUUUCUAAUGCUUUGUUACAAGAGUAGACCUUUCUAUACUACUGUGUGGAAUAAAUGUUUGCAAUAUUAAUGUACCUCUUCCUUCUCAGUCUUGCUUCUUAUCUCAUACAAUCGAGAAGGCGUAGCCCAUUUUAUUUAUAAACUUUAAUUUUAGGUUGUUAGAAUAUAUACAUGUAUUAUGUCUAAUUUUUGACUGUGCAUAAAUUAUGCAGUUGCAUUAGUGGCUUUUAUUUUUAUUUGAAAAAAAAUUGAGAAAAUGGAGAAACCAAAGACAGUGUUAGGGUAUGGUCAUAUGUAACCAUAGCUGCUAAUAAGCCUGUUUGCAAUCUCAUCUUUCCAUAGGUGGUUGCCUAUCACUAUUGCCAGGCAGAUAAUGCCUACACCUGCCUGGUACCAGAAUUCGUCCACAAUGUUGCUGCCCUGCUCUGCCGCUCACCUCAGCUGACAGCUUACCGGGAACAGCUUCUUCGGGAGCCUCACCUGCAGAGCAUGCUAAGCCUCCGGUCCUGUGUUCAAGAUCCCAUGGCCUCCUUCCGGAGAGGAGUCCUAGAGCCCUUGGAGAACCUCCACAAAGGUAUAAAUAAGGUUGAAAAGAGCCGUGGUCACUUGCGUUGUGAUAUAGAAAUGAUUGUGUUUAUUACAUUGUCAGAACUAAAUGUUCUAUAGCUGAUGUCUACAGAGUACAGCAUGCAGAAGACUUUUCUUGGGUAGAGUGUGAUAAUGCACAUAUGUAGUCCCAGCAUUUGGAAGAGGCUAGGGUAGGUGGACUGCUUCAAUCCAGGAAUUAAAAACAAACCUAGGCAAUGUAACAGGACGCAUUUCAAAAUAACAAAUCUAUGUAGAAACUGAUCCUUCCUCCUUCCUUUGUAAAAGUUCUUAUUUUGAUUUCCAAAUAAUUUUAGUUUUCUUAUAAUAAAGGUAGUAGAGCUUCUAAUCCUUUCUGUGGAAGUAGAAUUAAUCAAUAAAGUUGCUGCUCCAUCUCACUCUUUCAGAGUUUGUAGGGCUAGAAUCUAUAGUUAGAAAAUAUCUGCAGUACAUUUAUUAUGCCACCCAUGGCUGCAUACCUCACUCAGUAUUGACACUAGAAAUCACUUACUGUUCACUUGGAAGGUAUGUAAAAAGGCACAUGGACAUUUUGUGGUACAUAAAUUGUAUCAGAAAAGCUAGUGGUUGUUAAUGAAAAUGAAAUGAGUGGGCUCUGUCUCCCUCUUGUGCUCAUGCCUUACCUUUUCCUUUCCAGCCCUGGUACUCACUGAAGCCUAAGCACAGUCAUCUCCUUAAACCUCUCUCCACAUUUUUUCACCUUUUAAAUUUUUUAUUUUUAGUGUGGGGAGGCAGGUUGGUGUGGAGCAUUGCAUCCAUAAUACAGCUAUAUGUGAAUGUACACAUCCACAUGUAAAGAGGCCAGAGGAAGAGGCUGGUGUCUUCCUCUGUAGCUCUCUUCAUUAAUUGUCGUAACGCUGGGUCUCUGACUGACUGACCAUUGAGCUCCUGAAUCUUCCUGUCUCUCCUCCCACCCCCAGCACUGGGGUUUCUGGCAUGUGCUGCCAUACUCAGCUUUUUACAUGUGUGCUUGGGAGUCCAGCUUUUGCAUAGCACUCUUUUUUUUUUAGAUUUAUUUAUUUAUUAUAUGUGAGUACACUGUAGCUGUCCUCAGAUACCCCAUAAGAGGGCAUUAGAUUUUGUUACAGAUGGUUGUGAGCCACCAUAUGGUUGCUGGGAUUUGAACUCGGAACCUUCGGAAGAGCAGUCGGCGCUCUUAACCACUGAGCCAUCUCGCCAGCCCCCUGCAUAGCACUCUGAGCACAAUGCUGAGUCGUCCACUACACACUGUGGGCAUGCACCCCAAGAAGGUAAAUACUGCAGCAGUGUUGUCCAAAACAGUGGACUUAAAAUAGAAGUCAUUAACAAUACUUAAACCUUAAAUAUGUAUAGGUGAGCCUCUUCUAAAUAACCUAUAGGUCAAAGAGCAGGUCAUACAAAGAAUGUUUAAUAUUUCAAAAUGAAUGAUGUAAAAUAACUUGUGUGAGUUUCUUUCUUAAACUAGGAAAAUAAAUUUAAUUAGUAUAAAUAAGGAAGUGAUCUUCUAACAGAAAUGAUUGAAGUAGAAAGUUGAUGUGAAAUUGGAUAAUCAAGCCUCAACAAGACUGUUCAAAAAAUAUGGGAGAAAAACAUGAAUUAACAGCAACAUAAAUCAAGAGCUGGUACUACAGUUCAUAAAAAUAUUUUUAAAAAUAAACCAUUAUAAACAACCUUAUCACAAUAAAAUUCAACAAACUGACUAAAGUAGACAGGUUAUUCUUAAAACACACAUAUUGCUUAACAUAUUUU
rnacentral:lncRNA from 1 species